UACGUAGGGUGCAAGCGUUGUCCGGAAUUAUUGGGCGUAAAGAGCUCGUAGGUGGCGGGUCACGUCGGGUGUGAAAGCCCGGGGCUCAACUCCGGAUCUGCGGUGGGUACGGGCAGACUAGAGUGAUGUAGGGGAGACUGGAAUUCCUGGUGUAGCGGUGAAAUGCGCAGAUAUCAGGAGGAACACCGAUGGCGAAGGCAGGUCUCUGGGCAUUAACUGACGCUGAGGAGCGAAAGCAUGGGGAGCGAACAGG
rnacentral:rRNA from 1 species